CGCGGCCUAUCAGCUUGUUGGUGGGGUGACGGCCUACCAAGGCGACGACGGGUAGCCGGCCUGAGAGGGUGUCCGGCCACACUGGGACUGAGAUACGGCCCAGACUCCUACGGGAGGCAGCAGUGGGGAAUAUUGCACAAUGGGCGCAAGCCUGAUGCAGCGACGCCGCGUGGGGGAUGACGGCCUUCGGGUUGUAAACCUCUUUCACCAUCGACGAAGGUCCGGGGUUUCUCGGAUUGACGGUAGGUGGAGAAGAAGCACCGGCCAACUACGUGCCAGCAGCCGCGGUAAUACGUAGGGUGCGAGCGUUGUCCGGAAUUACUGGGCGUAAAGAGCUCGUAGGUGGUUUGUCGCGUUGUUCGUGAAAUCUCACGGCUUAACUGUGAGCGUGCGGGCGAUACGGGCAGACUGGAGUACUGCAGGGGAGACUGGAAUUCCUGGUGUAGCGGUGGAAUGCGCAGAUAUCAGGAGGAACACCGGUGGCGAAGGCGGGUCUCAGGGCAGUAACUGACGCUGAGGAGCGAAAGCGUGGGGAGCGAACAGGAUUAGAUACCCUGGUAGUCCACGCCGUAAACGGUGGGUACUAGGUGU
rnacentral:rRNA from 1 species